rnacentral:rRNA from 1 species
UUAAAGGUAUUUUCCGGUAGACGAUGGGGAUGCGUUCCAUUAGAUAGUAGGCGGGGUAACGGCCCACCUAGUCAACGAUGGAUAGGGGUUCUGAGAGGAAGGUCCCCCACAUUGGAACUGAGACACGGUCCAAACUCCUACGGGAGGCAGCAGUGAGGAAUAUUGGUCAAUGGGCGAUGGCCUGAACCAGCCAAGUAGCGUGAAGGAUGACUGCCCUAUGGGUUGUAAACUUCUUUUAUAAAGGAAUAAAGUCGGGUAUGCAUACCCGUUUGCAUGUACUUUAUGAAUAAGGAUCAGCUAACUCCGUGCCAGCAGCCGCGGUAAUACGGAGGAUCCGAGCGUUAUCCGGAUUUAUUGGGUUUAAAGGGAGCGUAGAUGGAUGUUUAAGUCAGUUGUGAAAGUUUGCGGCUCAACCGUAAAAUUGCAGUUGAUACUGGAUGUCUUGAGUGCAGUUGAGGCAGGCGGAAUUCGUGGUGUAGCGGUGAAAUGCUUAGAUAUCACGAAGAACUCCGAUUGCGAAGGCAGCCUGCUAAGCUGCAACUGACAUUGAGGCUCGAAAGUGUGGGUAUCAAACAGGAUUAGAUACCCUGGUAGUCCACACGGUAAACGAUGAAUACUCGCUGUUUGCGAUAUACGGCAAGCGGC